rnacentral:rRNA from 1 species
CCUACGGGAGGCAGCAGUGGGGAAUUUUUCGCAAUGGGGGAAACCCUGACGAAGCAACGCCGCGUGGAGGAUGAAGGCCUUCGGGUCGUAAACUCCUGUCGACCGGGACGCUGUACCGGUGGAGGAAGCCACGGCUAACUCUGUGCCAGCAGCCGCGGUAAUACAGAGGUGGCAAGCGUUGUUCGGAAUUACUGGGCGUAAAGGGCGCGUAGGCGGCCUUGUAAGUCCCGUGUGAAAUCCCCUGGCUCAACUAGGGAAUUGCACGGGAGACUGCUUGGCUUGAGUUCGGGAGAGGGAAGCGGAAUUCCGGGUGUAGCGGUGAAAUGCGUAGAUAUCCGGAGGAACACCGGUGGCGAAGGCGGCUUCCUGGACCGAAUGACGCUGAGGCGCGAAAGCUGGGGAGCAAACGGGAUUAGAUACCCUUGUAGUC